UGCAGCUUGGAAGAUAAUAUGAUGAGUUGAUGUUGAUGAAAGCCACAUUUAACAGAGUGAUUCUGCAAAGAGACACCACUGCUAGAUGUGCCUCUUUGAAACAGGACAAACUCAAGCAAAGAUCGUUAACUUUAUCUUUGAAAACAAUGGUAAAACUUUCUAACUAAUUAUCUUUUCCUUGACAUCUUCUUUAAUCAUGCUUGAAUUAAGUUUAAGCAUAUGAAAGACAUGAUUGUUGGUAGAUAAAUGAGAAGCUUCAUGUUCUAAUUUUUAGGCUAAUGGUCUAAGAAGACAGUAAGGCGUGUUGAUUGCAGUUUGUUAUCUAUUAUAUGGAAAAGAAAACGUGCAUUGCCAACAUAAAGUACAGAAAGGAUAUG
rnacentral:lncRNA from 1 species